GGUGGCUCAGUGGUAGAGUGCUUGCCUUCCAUGCGUGAGGCCCUGGGUUCGAUUCCUCAGCACCA
rnacentral:tRNA from 1 species